rnacentral:lncRNA from 1 species
CCUCGCAGCCACCCGAUUUGAAAUUUAUUGGACAAGAGUGAUAGUGACCUCAUUGUAUUAAAAGUAAAUAGUUUCUUUGUAUAUUUUUACAUUAUGGAAAAAGUUUAUAUACAGCUUAAGCUCUAAACUAUCAAAUUAGAGCCGGCCUCAAAACUUUCAUUAGAAGAGGUUGUUUUAUAUAUCAUCAAAUUGAUCAUCUCGAC